rnacentral:piRNA from 1 species
UGGAUCUGAUGGUGUCUGUUGUUUGGUGU